GGAGAAUUCCGUCUGAAAUUCCUCCCGCUCUCUCUCUCUCUCUCUCUCUCUUAGGAUCGAUCAUACACCCUGGAAAUGGACUCCAAUGCGUGGACCGCUCGCCUCUCCAUUGCUUCGCGGGACUACCAGAGUCGAUCAGAUCUGUACCUAUGAGGGGGCCACAAGGAAAUUGACGGGGACGAGGAGCAUCCUGUGGAGGCGAAGAAUGGGGUA